UACGAAGGGGGCUAGCGUUGCUCGGAAUCACUGGGCGUAAAGCGCACGUAGGCGGAUCUUUAAGUCAGGGGUGAAAUCCUGGAGCUCAACUCCAGAACUGCCUUUGAUACUGGGGAUCUCGAGUCCGGGAGAGGUGAGUGGAACUCCGAGUGUAGAGGUGAAAUUCGUAGAUAUUGGGAAGAACACCGGUGGCGAAGGCGGCUCUCUGGACCGAGACUGACGCUGAGGCGCGAAAGCGUGGGGAGCAAACAGGG
rnacentral:rRNA from 1 species